AUUGAACGCUGGCGGUAUGCUUAACACAUGCAAGUCGAACGGUAGCCACUUCGGUGGUGAGAGUGGCGGACGGGUGAGUAACGCGUAGGAAUCUGCCCUGUAGUGGGGGACAACGUGGGGAAACCCACGCUAAUACCGCAUACGCCCUGAGGGGGAAAGCGGGGGACCUUCGGGCCUCGCGCUAUAGGAUGAGCCUGCGUUGGAUUAGCUAGUUGGUAGGGUAAAGGCCUACCAAGGCUGCGAUCCAUAGCUGGUCUGAGAGGACGACCAGCCACACUGGGACUGAGACACGGCCCAGACUCCUACGGGAGGCAGCAGUGGGGAAUAUUGGACAAUGGGCGCAAGCCUGAUCCAGCAAUACCGCGUGUGUGAAGAAGGCCUGAGGGUUGUAAAGCACUUUCAAUGGGGAGGAAAAAUGCAGUCUUAAUACGGCUGCCCUUGACAUUACCCAUACAAGAAGCACCGGCUAACUCCGUGCCAGCAGCCGCGGUAAUACAGAGGGUGCGAGCGUUAAUCGGAAUUACUGGGCGUAAAGCGUGCGUAGGCGGCCUGUUAAGUCAGAUGUGAAAGCCCUGGGCUCAACCUGGGAACGGCAUUUGAAACUGGCAGGCUAGAGUUAGGUAGAGGGGAGUGGAAUUUCAGGUGUAGCGGUGAAAUGCGUAGAUAUCUGAAGGAACACCAGUGGCGAAGGCGGCUCCCUGGACCCAAACUGACGCUGAGGUACGAAAGCGUGGGUAGCAAACAGGAUUAGAUACCCUGGUAG
rnacentral:rRNA from 1 species